GUCCAGCCGUAAACUUUAACUUACACACCNAUCGCCAGGGAACUACGAGCAAAGCUUAAAACCCAAAGGACUUGACGGUACCCCACAUCCCCCUAGAGGAGCCUGUCCUAUAAUCGAUAAUCCCCGUUUAACCUCACCACUUUUAGCUUCUUCAGCCUGUAUACCUCCGUCGUCAGCUUACCACGUGAGCGAACCAUAGUGAGCUUAAUGUCUCCCCAUCAACACGUCAGGUCAAGGUGCAGCAAAUAAAAUGGGAAGAGAUGGGCUACACUUUCUAAAAUAGAAUAUACGAAAGACUAUUUAUGAAACCUAGUCAGAAGGCGGAUUUAGUAGUAAAAAGAAAACAGAGUGUUCUUUUUAACCCGGCACUGGGGUGUGUACACACCGCCCGUCACCCUCCUCAAAGCUAAAAAACAGUAUUUAACUACUUUAUGCAUAUAGAAGAGGCAAGUCGUAACAUGGUAAGUGUACCGGAAGGUGUGCUUGGAUCAAA
rnacentral:rRNA from 1 species